rnacentral:rRNA from 1 species
CCAAAAACAUAGCCUUUAGCUAAACUAAGUAUUAAAGGUAACGCCUGCCCAGUGAAAUUUAAACGGCCGCGGUAUCCUAACCGUGCAAAGGUAGCGUAAUCACUUGUCUUAUAAAUAAAGACCUGUAUGAACGGCUAAAUGAGUAUUAAGCUGUCUCCUUUAACUAAUCAGUGAAACUGAUCUUCCAGUACAAAAGCUAGAAUAAAGACAUAAGACGAGAAGACCCUGUGGAGCUUUAAAUUCCUAUCAAAAUAUAUGUACCUUAUAUUUAUGAUUAGUUAUUUUUAGUUGGGGCGACUUUGGAGUAAAACUUAACCUCCAAGAAAAGGUGUAGCCUAGACAAGGCCUACUAGCCAACCACAUAGAUCCAGUAUUACUGAUCAACGAACCAAGUUACCCCAGGGAUAACAGCGCUAUCUUCUUCAAGAGUUCAUAUCGACAAGAAGGUUUACGACCUCGAUGUUGGAUCAGGACACCCAAAUGGUGCAGCCGCUAUUAAAGGUUCGUUUGUUCAACGAUUAAUAGUCCUACGUGAUCUGAG